rnacentral:pre_miRNA from 1 species
UGAUGAUGAUGAUGAUCAUGAUCAUGAUGAUGAUCAUGAUCAUGAUGAUGAUCAUGAUCAUGAUGAUGAUCAUGAUGAUGAUCAUGAUCAUGAUGA